rnacentral:tRNA from 5 species
UGGGAUAUCGCCAAGUGGUAAGGCUCCAGACUCUGACUCUGGCAUCGUUGGUUCGAAUCCAGCUAUCCCAGCCA